UACGGAGGGUGCAAGCGUUGUUCGGAAUUACUGGGCGUAAAGGGCGCGUAGGCGGCUGGGGAAGUCCGAUGUGAAAGCCCGGGGCUCAACUCCGGAAGUGCAUUGGAAACUCCCUGGCUUGAGUUCGGGAGAGGAGGGCAGAAUUCCCGGUGUAGGGUUGAAAUCCGUAGAUAUCGGGAGGAAAACCGGUGGCGAAGGCGGCCCUCUGGAACGAAACUGACGCUGAGGCGCGAAAGCGUGGGGAGCAAAC
rnacentral:rRNA from 1 species